GACGAACGCUGGCGGCGUGCUUAACACAUGCAAGUCACGGGGGGCCCGCAAGGGUCAACCGGCGAACGGGUGCGUAACACGUGAGCGACCUGCCCAAUUGCGGGGGAUAGCCGGCCCAACGGCCGGGUAAUACCGCAUACGCUUCCCUGGGGGCAUUCUUGGGGAAGGAAACCUACGGGGCGAUUGGAGGGGCUCGCGGCCUAUCAGCUAGUUGGCGAGGUAACGGCUCACCAAGGCGAUGACGGGUAGCUGGUCUGAGAGGAUGGCCAGCCACAUUGGGACUGAGAGACGGCCCAGACUCCUACGGGAGGCAGCAGUGGGGAAUCUUGCGCAAUGGCCGAAAGGCUGACGCAGCGACGCCGCGUGGAGGAUGACGCCC
rnacentral:rRNA from 1 species